rnacentral:rRNA from 1 species
AACGAACGCUGGCGGCAUGCCUAACACAUGCAAGUCGAACGAGACCUUCGGGUCUAGUGGCGCACGGGUGCGUAACGCGUGGGAGCCUGCCCUUAGGUUCGGAAUAACUCCCCGAAAGGGGUGCUAAUACCGGAUAAUGUCUUCGGACCAAAGAUUUAUCGCCUUUGGAUGGGCCCGCGUUGGAUUAGCUAGUUGGUAGGGUAAAAGCCUACCAAGGCGACGAUCCAUAGCUGGUCUGAGAGGAUGAUCAGCCACACUGGGACUGAGACACGGCCCAGACUCUUACGGGAGGCAGCAGAGGGGAAUAUUGGACAAUGGGCGAAAGCCUGAUCCAGCAAUGCCGCGUGAGUGAUGAAGGCCUUAGGGUUGUAAAGCUCUUUUACCCGGGAUGAUAAUGACAGUACCGGGAGAAUAAGCUCCGGCUAACUCCGUG